GACACUGUUGGGAGUUUCUUUACAAGCAAAGCAACCUUUAAGAAAAAACAAAGGCAGAAAUUUCCACAAUCCUAGGACAUUAAAACUGAGGGCUGGCACUAAAUAUGACAGAAGCACCUGAGAACUGCAGACUGGCAAUAAAGCUGGUUCUGAUUGAUUCAUAAAAAUAAAAUUUAAAAAAGGAAAAAAAUGAAUGGUAAGAGCCUUAUGCAGGAAUGGAAGAGGCAGAAAAUAGCAUAGCCAGGGCAUGUGCCAAGGUGUGAAAUUGUGGUGACAGAGCUGUGAGCAGCAUCAGCAGACGAGGGCAAGAUCCCUGAACUGGAAGGGAUGGCUUUGCAAUUUGUAUGGAAACACAGAGGGAAAGAAGAACAGGAAAGAAAAAAGAUUUAGCCAUAUAUGGUUGGCUGGUGGAGGGUCCUGGAGGAAUAUUGAAGGCUGUCAGCACAUGGCUGUGAAGACCAAGCUGGAUGAGACAGCAAGCAGCAGCAGCACAAUCCCAGCUGAGCCCAGAAAUCCACACUGCCACUUCCAACACAGGCCUUGCCAGGUCCACAGUCCUGGGGGAGCCUGUGGGGCACCACAGGAAUGCCUGUGGCUACCCAGGGCUGGUCACAAUGCAAGCAGCACAUGGGGCAAGCUGGGGCACAGGAGAAAGAAAAAGAGGUGCAGGAAGCUUCCAGAAGAGGCAGGAAAGCAAAGAAGGGAAGUAUCUGGUGGCACCAGAGGAGGUUAUGAGACUGUGUGCGUUAGGGUCAAUCACAUCAAGGUAAAGAGAAGUGGCUGAUGUGGGCAGGUGAAAUGGAUUUGCUUUAUUAGGAGAAAAGGGAAAAUAGAAUAGAAUGAGUAAUGUUUUGUCAUCUGAAUACCCCAGUCAGUUUGACACCAAAAUUUUAGCCACAGAUUUUCAGGAUGCAGAUGAAAUUGCUCUACUGCAGAUGAGUUAUCACUAACUUCCUGAUUGUAAUGAUUCAUGCACUUCCUUUCAAAUUCCAUUUUUCCUUCUCAUGUGCUCUAUAGCCUAUUCCAGAAAGAAUAUUUAUUACACCAGUCUUUACUAGGUAAGUGUUACUUUUCUUAGCCAGCUGUUUCUGUUCUGCUUUCCUUUUAACAGGAAGAUGAAACAAGUAAAAUUAGUCAGACCACAUUGUACCUUUUUUUGCUCCUUUUCCAGAAAAAAAUAGUAGAUAUGGCCAUAGGAGGCAGAAUACUGAACUCCUCUGACUGCACAGGGUAUUUCUGUAGCUGUAAUGUAGUUUUCUAUGUCCACUAUUAGAUAAUAAUAAUGUCAUCCUAAUAUU